UAAUACGUAGGUGGCAAGCGUUGUCCGGAUUUACUGGGCGUAAAGCGCGCGUAGGCGGCUUUUUAAGUCUAUGGUGAAAUCUCCUGGCUUAACCAGGAUGGGUCUGUAGAUACUGGAAGGCUUGAGUGUCGCAGAGGAAAGUGGAAUUCCCGGUGGAGUGGUGAAAUGCGUAGAUAUCGGGAGGAACACCAGAGGCGUAAGCGGCUUUCUGGGCGAUUACUGACGCUGAGGCGCGAAAGCGUGGGGAGCAAACCGGAUUAGAUACCCGGGUAGUCCACGCCGUAAACGAUGGGCACUAGGUGUCAUGGGUAUCGACCCCCGUGGUGCCGUAGCUAACGCAUUAAGUGCCCCGCCUGGGGAGUACGGCCGCAAGGCUA
rnacentral:rRNA from 1 species